rnacentral:rRNA from 1 species
AGAGUUUGAUCCUGGCUCAGGAUGAACGCUGGCGGCGUGCCUAACACAUGCAAGUCGAGCGUGAUUGUUAUGAGUGGAGACUUCGGUCAAAGCGAGUAACAUGAAAGCGGCGGACGGGUGAGUAACGCGUGGGCAACCUGCCCCAUACACGAGGAUAGCCACUGGAAACGGUGAUUAAUACUCGAUAAGACCACACUGCCACAUGGCAGAGCGGCCAAAGAUUUAUCGGUAUGGGAUGGGCCCGCGUCUGAUUAGCUAGUUGGUGAGGUAACGGCUCACCAAGGCGACGAUCAGUAACCGACCUGAGAGGGCGGACGGUCACACUGGAACUGAGACACGGUCCAGACUCCUACGGGAGGCAGCAGUGGGGAAUAUUGCACAAUGGGCGCAAGCCUGAUGCAGCAACGCCGCGUGAGUGAAGAAGGCCUUCGGGUCGUAAAGCUCUGUCCUGUGGGACGAAAAAAAUGACGGUACCACAGGAGGAAGCCCCGGCUAACUACGUGCCAGCAGCCGCGGUAAUACGUAGGGGGCAAGCGUUAAUCGGAAUUACUGGGCGUAAAGCGUGCGCAGGCGGUUUUGUAAGUCAGAUGUGAAAUCCCCGGGCUCAACCUGGGAACUGCGUUUGAAACUACAAGGCUAGAAUAUGUCAGAGGGGGGUAGAAUUCCACGUGUAGCAGUGAAAUGCGUAGAGAUGUGGAGGAAUACCAAUGGCGAAGGCAGCCCCCUGGGAUAAUAUUGACGCUCAUGCACGAAAGCGUGGGGAGCAAACAGGAUUAGAUACCCUGGUAGUCC